rnacentral:lncRNA from 1 species
AAAAGAUGCAAUGCUGUAAAGUGAGACUGCAGUGAUUACACUGGUUUAUUUUUUUUUCUGUUUAUACUGCCCUUAAGAUAGUAAGUGCUUAUAGUGCCACCCUCUGGUUGAGACAGCUACUGUCUUCACUUCCAGAUUUUGUCUUUAAGAGAACAUUUUACUACUAUUGAAAGAAAAUACAAGCUAAUCUUAUGCUAAUUUCCCUUUCUCUUGUUUUUUAACUGUUGAGAAGAGUAAUUUCAAGACAAUAACUAAAAUUACUGGCAUUGGAGAGACCUAUAACGAGAUUCCUCUAAGUUAAACCAGCAUGAUGAAACUCCCCUUGCUCUUCUGUGGAGCAGUGCUUGGGUUCAUUCUCCAAAGACGUUUUCCUGGCACUUCUCAGAAGAGGGCUGUACCUUGGUCCU